GGGAGUUGAAAUGUUGGGCCACGGGGCGGUGUGGUUGAUUGGUGCGGGUGUCCCGGAGAUGUUCCCUAAAGCGCUCUGCUAGGAGGCGCCCAGUCUCCCCAAUGUAGAGGAGACCGUAUCGGGACCAACGGAUACAAUAAAUGAUAUUGGUGGAUCU